rnacentral:lncRNA from 8 species
AUGGGUCUGUUAAUUCAAAGAUUCAUCUUAGAAGAAAAACAAUUCUAUCAACACUUUGUGAAAAUAGCGGUGAGUAAUGUUUUUUUGAGCACAGCAUUUGCUGUCACUAAACACUUUUCAACAAGAAACAAUGUUAUUCUUAGUUAUCCCUGCGCAUACAGGUUUCUGUCAACAAGAAACAAUGUUAUUCUUAGUUAUUACUGUACAUACAGGUUUCUGUCAACAAGAAACAAUGUUAUUCUUAGUUAUUACUGUACAUACAGGUUUCUGUCAACAAGAAACAAUGUUAUUCUUAGUUAUUACUGCACUGUACACACAGGUUUAUGUAAACAAGAAACAAUGUUAUUCUUAGUUAUUACUGUACAUACAGGUUUCUGUCAACAAGAAACAAAAUCAAUGUUAUUCUUAGUUAUUACUUUACAUACAGGUUUCUGUCAACAAGAAACAAAAUCAAUGUUAUUCUUAGUUAUUACUAUACAUACAGGUUUCUGUCAACAAGAAACAAUGUUAUUCUUAGUUAUUACUGUACAUACAGGUUUCUGUCAACAAGAAACAAUGUUAUUCUUAGUUAUUCCUGUACAUACAGGUUUCUGUCAACAAGAAACAAUGUUAUCCUUAGUUAUUACUGUACAUACAGGUUUCUGUCAACAAGAAACAAUGUUAUUCUUAGUUAUUCCUGUACAUACAGGUUUCUGUCAACAAGAAACAAUGUUAUUCUUAGUUAUUACUGUACAUACAGGUUUCUGUCAACAAGAAACAAUGUUAUUCUUAGUUAUUCCUGUACAUACAGGUUUCUGUCAACAAGAAACAAAAUCAAUGUUAUUCUUAGCUUUCCCUGUACAUACAGGUUUCUGUCAACAAGAAACAAUGUUAUUCUUAGUUAUUCCUGUACAUACAGGUUUCUGUCAACAAGAAACAAUGUUAUUCUUAGUUAUUACUGUACAUACAGGUUUCUGUCAACAAGAAACAAUGUUAUUCUUAGUUAUUACUGUACAUACAGGUUUCUGUCAACAAUAAACAAU